rnacentral:rRNA from 1 species
GUGUUCAAGUUUUUAAGGGCAUACGGUGGAUGCCUUGGCAUCAGGAGCCGAUGAGGGACGUGGGAGCCUGCGAUAUGCCUCGGGGAGUCGGCAACCAGACUUUGAUCCGGGGAUUUCCGAAUGGGGAAACCUGGCACCCGUCAUGGGGUGUCGCCGCCGUCUGAAUGUAUAGGGCGGUUGGUGGGAACGCGGGGAAGUGAAACAUCUCAGUACCCGCAGGAAGAGAAAACAAUAGUGAUUCCGUGAGUAGUGGUGAGCGAAAGCGGAAGAGCCUAAACCGUGCGCGUGUGAUACCUGGUAGGGGUUGCGUGUGCGGGGUUGUGGGACCAUCCGGUCGGGUCUACCAGGCCGGCGGAGAGUUACAAAGUAUCGUGAUAGUCGAACGGCAUGGGAAGGCCGACCGUAGACGGUGAGAGUCCGGUAGACGAAAUUGCGAUGUCUCUUGGGUGUGUUCCCCGAGUAGCACGGGGCCCGUGAAAUUCCCGUGUGAAUCUGCCACGACCACGUGGUAAGGCUGAAUACUUCCUGAUGACCGAUAGCGGACCAGUACCCGUGAGGGAAAGGUGAAAAGUGCCCCGGUGAGGGGUCGUGAAAUAGUACCUGAAACCCGUGUGCCUACAAGCCGUCAGAGCCUCCUCACAUGAGGGACUUGUGUUGUUGUUGGUGAUGGCGUGCCUUUUGAAGAAUGAGCCUGCGAGUUAUGGUGUGUGGCGAAGGUUAACCGGUGUCGGGUAGCCGUAGCGAAAGCGAGUCUGAAUAGGGCGUUUGUAGUCGCAUGCUGUAGACCCGAAGCGGAGUGAUCUAGCCAUGGGCAGGGUGAAGCGCCGGUAAGACGGUGUGAAGGCCCGAACCCACCAGGGUUGAAAACCUGGGGGAUGACCUGUGGUUAGGGGUGAAAGGCCAAUCAAACUCCGUGAUAGCUGGUUCUCCCCGAAAUGCAUUUAGGUGCAGCGUCGUGUGUUUCUUGCCGGAGGUAGAGCUACUGGAUGGCUGAUGGGCCCUACAAGGUUACUGACGUCAGCCAAACUCCGAAUGCCGGUAAGUGAGAGCGCGGCAGUGAGACUGCGGGGGAUAAGCUUCGUAGUCGAGAGGGAAACAGCCCAGAUCAUCGGCUAAGGCCCCUAAGCGUGUGCUAAGUGGUAAAGGAUGUGGAGUUGCCGUGACAACCAGGAGGUUGGCUUAGAAGCAGCCACCCUUGAAAGAGUGCGUAAUAGCUCACUGGU